AAAUGCGAUAAUUAGUGUGCAUUGCAGAAUUCAGUGAAUCAUCGAAUCUUUGAACGCACAUUGCGCCCUUUGGUAUUCCUUAGGGCAUGCCUGUUCGAGCGUCAUCUAAACCUUCAAGCCCUGCUUGGUGUUGGGUGCCUGUCCCGCCUCCGCGCGCGGACUCACCUCAAAUCCAUUGGCGGCCCCCGCGUCGGCCACGAGCGCAGCAGAAACGCGAACUCGUGAGCCCGUCCGGGCGGCUCCCAGAAGCUACACCCACCCAGUUUGACCUCGGAUCAGGUAGGGAUACCCGCUGAACUUAAGC
rnacentral:misc_RNA from 1 species